rnacentral:rRNA from 1 species
GACGAACCGUGCGAACGUUGUUCGGAAUCACUGGGCUUAAAGGGCGCGUAGGCGGCUUGCCAAGUCGGGGGUGAAAUCCGGCAGCUUAACUGUCGAAGUGCCUUCGAUACUGGCAAGCUAGAGGGAGGUAGGGGUCUGUGGAACUUCUGGUGGAGCGGUGAAAUGCGUUGAUAUCAGAAGGAACGCCGGUGGCGAAAGCGACGGACUGGAUCUCUUCUGACGCUGAGGCGCGAAAGCUAGGGGAGCAAACGGG